GACGAACGCUGGCGGCGUGCUUAACACAUGCAAGUCGAACGGAAAGACCCUGCUUGCCGGGUGCUCGAGUGGCGAACGGGUGAGUAACACGUGGGUGAUCUGCCCCUUACUUUGGGAUAAGCCUGGGAAACUGGGUCUAAUACUGGAUAGGACCAUGCUGUAGGUGGUGUGGUGGAAAGAUUAGUUUCGGUAAGGGAUGAGCUCGCGGCCUAUCAGCUUGUUGGUGGGGUAAUGGCCUACCAAGGCGUCGACGGGUAGCCGGCCUGAGAGGGUGGACGGCCACAUUGGGACUGAGAUACGGCCCAGACUCCUACGGGAGGCAGCAGUGGGGAAUAUUGCACAAUGGGCGCAAGCCUGAUGCAGCGACGCCGCGUGGGGGAUGACGGCCUUCGGGUUGUAAACUCCUUUCAGCCAUGACGAAGCCCUUGUGGUGACGGUAGUGGUAGAAGAAGCACCGGCUAACUACGUG
rnacentral:rRNA from 1 species